rnacentral:rRNA from 1 species
GAUGAACGCUAGCUACAGGCUUAACACAUGCAAGUCGAGGGGCAGCAUGUCGGUUGCUUGCAACCGAUGAUGGCGACCGGCGGAUGGGUGAGUAACGCGUAUCCAACCUACCCCCAACCAAGGGAUAACCCGUUGAAAGACGGACUAAUACCUUAUGUUCUCCACCGAGGACAUCUGAAUUGGAGCAAAGAUUUAUCGGUUGUGGAUGGGGAUGCGUCCGAUUAGCUUGUUGGCGGGGCAACGGCCCACCAAAGCGACGAUCGGUAGGGGUUCUGAGAGGAAGGUCCCCCACAUUGGAACUGAGACACGGUCCAA